GACGGAGGUGGCAAGCGUUAUCCGGAAUUAUUGGGCGUAAAGGGUACGUAGGCGGCUGGACAAGUCUGGGGUCAAAGGCCACAGCUCAACUGUGGGAAGGCCGUGGAAACUGACGGGCUAGAGUGAGGUAGGGGCUGGGGGAAGUCCCGGUGUAGCGGUGAAAUGCGUAGAGAUCGGGAGGAACACCUGAGGCGGAAGCGCGCAACUGGGCCUGUACUGACGCUGAGGUGCGAAAGCUUGGGGAGCGAAUGGG
rnacentral:rRNA from 1 species